rnacentral:rRNA from 1 species
CAAUAGCGUAUAUUAAAGUUGUUGCAGUUAAAAAGCUCGUAGUUGGAUUUCGGGGCAGCCUGGCUGGUCCGCCGCAAGGCGAGUACUGGUCAGCCGCCCUUCCUCUCGAAAGCCCCGACUGCUCUUUAUUGCAGUGGUCGGGUAGUUCGGGACGUUUACUUUGAAAAAAUUAGGGUGUUCAAGGCAGGCCUACGCCUGAAUACAUUAGCAUGGAAUAAUGGAAGAGGACCUCGGUCCUAUUUUGUUGGUUUCCAGGACCGAAGUAAUGAUUAAGAGGGACAGUUGGGGGCAUUCGUAUUUAAUUGUCAGAGGUGAAAUUCUCGGAUUUAUGAAAGACGAACAACUGCGAAAGCAUUUGCCAAGGAUGUUUUCAUUAA